AUGAAGAAAAGAAUGACCAGAGACCAUGAACUUCUGCUCAACUUGGGUAAAGUAACCCAUAGAGACGAGCAUCGACAUCAGAUUGAGCAUCAGACAGUUGUUAUUCUGCCCACAGCAUCUGUCACUGAAUAUGAUCAACUUGCGCACCUCUGGUUUGCCAGUUCCAGUUACCGGGCUCCUCGGACUUGGAGAGGAGCACCUUGUUAUGCCAUCACUCAAGAGCAACUGAGACACUUCAAUCUGUCACAUGCACCGUUAUAUUCUGACAUGUCAGACUUGGCUCUGAAUGAAAAGAUUAAGGACUUGGUGGCUGGGAACGACAAACGUGGACCGGAGGCUGUUCAAUCACAAUUAAGGGCUCUGGGUGCAGAGACGCAGAGUGAGGGACAGCAUGCUUCGUGUUAA
rnacentral:lncRNA from 1 species